rnacentral:rRNA from 1 species
GACGAACGCUGGCGGCGUGCCUAAUACAUGCAAGUAGGACGCAGUUGCGAACGUGUGAGUAACGCGUAGGUAACUACCUAUUAGAGGGGGAUAACUAUUGGAAACGAUAGCUCAUACCGCAUACUAGUAGAUGGACCUGCGUUGUAUUAGCUAGUAGGUAGGGUAAUGGCCUACCUAGGCAACGAUACAUAGCCGACCCGUGAGGAUGAUCGGCCAACCUGGGACUACGACACGGCCCAGACUCAUGCGGAAGGCAGCAGUAAGGGUUCUUCGGCAAGUGAAGGAAGCCGGACCGAGCAAAGGCGGGAAGGUGGAGAGGGUUGUCGGAGCGCAAAGCGCUGUUGUUGAGGGAGCGGUACUUAACCAGAAAGGAACGACUAACUGAGUGCCAGCAGCCGCGGUAAUAC